rnacentral:rRNA from 1 species
CCUACGGGAGGCAGCAGUGGGGAAUAUUGCACAAUGGGGGAAACCCUGAUGCAGCGACGCCGCGUGAGUGAAGAAGUUUUUCGGUAUGUAAAGCUCUUUCAGCAGGGAAGAAAAUGACGGUACCUGACCAAGAAGCACCGGCUAACUACGGGCCAGCAGCCGCGGUAAUACGUAGGGGGCAACCGUUAUUCGGAUUUACUGGGUGUAAAGGGAGCGUAGACGGCAGGGCAAGUCUGGAGUGAAAGGCGGGGGUUCAACCCCCGGACUGCACUGGAAACUGCCAGGCUGGAGUGCAGGAGAGGUAAGUGGAAUUCCUGGUGUAGCGGUGAAAUGCGUAGAUAUUAGGAGGAACACCAGUGGCGAAGGCGGCUUACUGGACUGUAACUGACGUUGAGGCUCGAAAGCGUGGGGAGCAAACAGGAUUAGAUACCCGAGUAGUC